ensembl:lncRNA
UUUUUCUUACAGCAGACAUGUGAUGUUACUGGCUGCGUGUUAACUCUUUAUUGGAGAAAAGACAAAUCUUCCCUGACCUUUAAUCAGUUUAUUGCACCUGUUGAGGUCAAAGAUGAAACACAUCAGUGCUUUAACACCCCCCCUGGACAAGGCUUAGAGACGGUGCAGGACUCAGCCUUCCCUCUUAGGAUGUCCAUAAAUGAUCUUUGGAUGGUUCCUUCAGUGCAAAUGUUUGACUAUUUUGGACCUUCUGAAAACAGAAAUUUGGAGAAAUUGUACAUUAUGUGUAGUGUUGCUGGCAACAACAUCAGAAACCUUGACAGCAUGUCUUUAUCCAGUCUUCCUUCUCUCACCCCAACCGGUCGCAGCAGAUGGCCCCGCCCCUCCCUGAGCCUGCUUCUGCUGGAGGUUUCUUCCUGUUGGAAGGGAGUUUUUUCUCAGCUCUUCCCAGGAGGGUGGCACGGUUCCCCCCCUUUGGUGGUCCUCCUCGGGUCCUUGUACUCUGGGGCCUCUGGAUGUCUGGAGUUUUGAUCUCCUCCAUACCUGCUUCAUACCCUGGUGGACGGGGCUGUGGCCCCCCCACACCCUCUAGCUGAUCGUUACAUGGAGAAACCUUUGGAAUACAAGCAUGCUGAUCCACACAGGUAUGCACACAGGUGUACACACGGGUAUUCACAGACGCGGACUACACCUUUCUUGGCUGCUGCCUCAAAGCACAUUGUGCGCUGUCUAUCUUGCGUGCUGCACAAUAUCGUUUAAUAUUUAGUAUUUACUGUUAUCUACUGCUAGCUAGCUUAUUGUGAUGGUGCUGUUUUUAUCAUGUUGCUCUUUUUUGUUUGUUUUCUCUUCUGGUUUUUUUUUCUCCAUACAGGUGAUCCAGGUGCUUUGUUUGUUUUUCUUUCUUUCUUCCCCCCUUUCUCACCGUCUCUUUCUUUCAUUCUUUCUCCCUGUCCUAUCCCCCAGUCAUGUCUGUCCCGUUUGUAGCAACUGAAAAUAAAAUAAAAUAAAUACAUAAUUAUAAUAAAGGUCAAUCAAAUGGACCAAUAUGCCAAGGCCAUGAUGAUCCACUUGGUAAAGUAAAUCUGCUUGGCAUCUUUCUUGGCCUUAAGACAACAAUUCUGAUGGCUAAAGACAAAAAAAAAAAAAAAAAUGUUGUUUUAUGUGUGACUCCUCCCACCAGAGGAUGGCUGUGGGGUUUUUCCCCUCUCUCUUAGGAGGUGGACACCUGGGCGUGCCUGCUGAGUAGCUGGGUGGAGUCUCUUCAUGUCCUGGGAUUGGAUAAUUGGUUGAUCACCUCCAGUACUUAACUACCGGAUCACAGCCACUUGGCCCCCGAUCUACUAGCUGCCACCAUCCAACAAAGAGCAUGUGUUUUUGAGUCGUAGAGUGUCUUUGCCCAUUGAUUUGCAAGUAUAACCGUGUGUGUGUGUGUGUGUGUCUGGUGUUAGUAUCUUCAUUUUGUAAAUAGCUGUAAUAGAUUUGUAAAGCAGCAAUUGUGUAUUUUGUUCACCUUGUAUAUAUUCUUCGCUGCAGCAGCCUAGUAGGCGUGAGAAGCCGUUUUUGUUGAUUGAGUUUUCUCCUGUUUUUCAUUUAGAAAGUUAGGUAAGUGAAUUGUCUUUUGUUUGGUUUUCAUUUGUAUAGGAAAGCGUAGGGACCAUUAGGGAGUUUUGUUUGUUAUUUUUGGCACUGCUCACUGCUGAAGCAAAUAAAUGGCUGCUUAGCACUUUAAAAGAUACGACUGUUUGUGUUCUUGCUUUGGUGGAGCGGGAGUGGGCCAAUUUCUUGUUGCGUUCAAUACACGCCUUGAACGUAGCACCACUGUCGCCAAAGUGCUUCUCACAGGGGGUCAUAUGAUUGUUGGGUUUUUCUCUGUAUGUAUUAUUGUAGGGUCGACCUUACAGUAUAAAGUGCCUUGAUCUCUGUGCUGGGUGGUUACAACAGGACUUCCAGGGAGAAAUCUGCAGACAGCUUUGGCAGGUGACAUAGAGCACAGACAAGGCAAGCUCCUUAAAAUAAAAUAGUCACAUCAGACAUACUAAAUUGUGUUUGUCUAUAGAUUUUACCCAGUGUUGGGGGAACUUUGUGUCAAUACUAAAAAGGGGUCAUACAUUUAUUUAAUUUUCUUUUCUUUUUUUUGUCCUAUUUGCAUUUUUUUUAUUCUUAGAUUAUUUUCUGUAAAACAGUUUGCGAUUUCUGUCUGGAAAAAAAAAACCCUGCACAAAUAAAUACGCAGUAAAUGUUUGUCAUCAUUUCCUACUCAACAUCUUUCUUAGUGACACUUAUCAUUUCAUUAGCAUCAGGCCAUAUUAGAACAUUAUAGAUUAUAAAGCUGUAUGUAAGCAUGUCAUUUUACUGUGAAAUGCACCGUAUACAGAUACUGUAUACGGUGCCGAAAGAACACGCGAACGGUCUUUACACCUGUUGUUGAAGCUACAUCAUUUGAGCUCAAUUACAGCAAGGAAACUUCAAACCUACUGGUUUACGCUGACACAUGGUAUCCUUCAUGGAUGACAGGAUUUUCUUAAGUUUGUCAGUAAAAUCAUCAGAUUUUUUUUGUUUAUUGUGCCAUCUUUGGACACAGGUUUUGUGUUUUCGCUUCGCUUCAUUUUUGCCGAUGACUUGUAGGGGCACAAAUAAUCUGACAAAGGCAAAGGGACA